GCACUCAGACUACGGGUCGGAGAACGCCUGCUGGAGAAUGGGCAGCGCCCGGAGGGGAACUGAAAUGAUGGAGAGGUUAAUUGGGAGUGACAUUUAAUCUCCGCGUCACAUCACAGCCACGACAUUUUUUUAAUUAUUAUGUGAAACAAUGGGUAGCGGAAUUUAUUUCCAUCGUGCACCUAAUGUUGGCAUAUCAGCACUAUAAAACACAUGAAACAAUGGGAAUUUCUUAAAAUUUUACAAAAAGAAUACUAAGAAAGUAAUUUUCAAUAAACAGGUAAAUAAUUUUGUUCAA